rnacentral:rRNA from 1 species
GACGAACGCUGGCGGCGUGCUUAACACAUGCAAGUCGAACGAUGAAGAAAAGAAUUGAAGCUUCGGCAGAAAUUCAUUUCGGAUUAGUGGCAGACGGGUGAGUAACGCGUGAGCAACCUACCUCUUACAAAGUGAUAGCCUCGGGAAACCGGGAUUAAUACCAUAUAACAUUGCGACGAAGCAUUUCGAUGCAAUCAAAGCUACGGCGGUAAGAGAUGGGCUCGCGUCCCAUUAACCAGAUGGUGAGGUAACGGCUCACCAUAGUAACGAUGGGUAACCGGCCAGAGAGGGGGAACGGUCACACUGGAACUGAGACGCGGUCCAGACUCCUACGGGAGGAAGCAGUGGGGAAUAUUGCACAAUGGAGGGAACUCUGAUGCAGCGACGCCGCGUGAGUGAUGAAGGAAUUAGAUACGUAAAACUCUGUUCUAUGGGAAGAAAAGGACUGUACCAUAGGAGAAAGCUCCGGCUAAAUACGUG